rnacentral:hammerhead_ribozyme from 1 species
AUCCAACUGACGAGUCCCAAAUAAGACGAAACAUGUGCCGAACUGGAU